rnacentral:rRNA from 1 species
GUUUAUGGCCAUUCGCCCUGAAUACAACCAAUCUCAUCUGAUCUUGGAAGUUAAGCAGGGUUGGGCCUGGUUAGUACUUGGAAAGGAGAAGCUAUUAUAAAGU